rnacentral:rRNA from 1 species
AUUGAACGCUGGCGGCAGGCCUAACACAUGCAAGUCGAACGGUAACAGGAAGCAGCUUGCUGCUUCGCUGACGAGUGGCGGACGGGUGAGUCAUGUCUGUGAAGCUGCCUGAUGGAGGGGGAUAACUACUGGAAACGGUAGCUAAUACCGCAUAAUGUCGCAAGACCAAAGAGGGGGACCUUCGGGCCUCUUGCCAUCGGAUGUGCCCAGAUGGGAUUAGCUUGUUGGUGGGGUAACGGCUCACCAAGGCGACGAUCCCUAGCUGGUCUGAGAGGAUGACCAGCCACACUGGAACUGAGACACGGUCCAGACUCCUACGGGAGGCAGCAGUGGGGAAUAUUGCACAAUGGGCGCAAGCCUGAUGCAGCCAUGCCGCGUGUAUGAAGAAGGCCUUCGGGUUGUAAAGUACUUUCAGCGGGGAGGAAGGGAGUAAAGUUAAUACCUUCGCUCAUUGACGUUACCCGCAGAAGAAGCACCGGCUAACUCCGUG